GAUGAACGCUGGCGGCGUGCCUAAUACAUGCAAGUCGAGCGAACAGACGAGGAGCUUGCUCCUCUGACGUUAGCGGCGGACGGGUGAGUAACACGUGGAUAACCUACCUAUAAGACUGGGAUAACUUCGGGAAACCGGAGCUAAUACCGGAUAACAUGUUGAACCGCAUGGUUCAACAGUGAAAGACGGUUUUGCUGUCACUUAUAGAUGGAUCCGCGCCGCAUUAGCUAGUUGGUAAGGUAACGGCUUACCAAGGCAACGAUGCGUAGCCGACCUGAGAGGGUGAUCGGCCACACUGGAACUGAGACACGGUCCAGGCUCCUACGAGAAGCAGCAGUAGGGAAUCUUCCGCAAUGGGCGAAAGCCUGACGGAGCAACGCCGCGUGAGUGAAGAAGGUCUUCGGAUCGUAAAACUCUGUUAUUAGGGAAGAACAAAUGUGUAAGUAACUAUGCACGUCUUGACGGUACCUAAUCAGAAAGCCACGGCUAACUACGUG
rnacentral:rRNA from 1 species